GUGCUCACUUCGGCAGCACAUAUACUAAAACUGGAACAAUACGGAGAUUAGCAUGGCCCCUGUGCAAGGAUGACGCACAAAUUUGUGAAACGUCCCAUGUUAAA